CCUACGGGUGGCAGCAGUGAGGAAUAUUGGUCAAUGGGCGAGAGCCUGAACCAGCCAAGUAGCGUGAGGGAGUACUGCCCUCUGGGUUGUAAACCUCUUUUGUCGGGGAGCAAAAGCCGGACGGGUCCGGCUGUGAGAGUACCCGAAGCAAAAGCAUCGGCUAACUCCGUGCCAGCAGCAGCGGUAAUACGGAGGCUGUGAGCGUUAUCCGGAUUUAGUGGGUUUAAGGGGUUCGCAGGCGGAUUUUUAAGUCAGCGGUAAAAUUGUGGGGCUCAACCCCAUCCCGCCGUUGACACUAGGGAUCUAGAGUGUGCGAGAGGUAUGCGGAAUGCGAGGUGAAGCGGUGAAAUGCAUAGAUAUAACGCAGAACACCGAAUGCGAAGGCAGCAGACCGGUGCAAAACUGACGCUCAGGGACGAAAGCGUGGGUAGCGAACAGGAUUAGAUACCCGGGUAGUC
rnacentral:rRNA from 1 species